UCUCAGUAACAGCAUUAAAGACACUUUGGCUGGCGACUUCGUUUUUCUGGUUGAUCGACAGGAUGAAUACCACACCCGGGGACUGCACGAGGCUGGUAUACCUGUGGUGGUCUAAAGAAUGACCUCCCAAUGAGUGUCAAUACGGAGUUAUCAAUGUACGCCGACGAUCAUCAAAUUUACCAUUGCGGUCGGGAUCCGGGAGUGGUCACAGCAAAGCUCAGUGCAAGUGAAGAACUCGCGACUGCGUGGUACGAGUCCAAUUUGUUGGCUGGUAACCUCAAGAAAUACCAAACACUAAGCAUCGGUUAUGGUAAAAAGGCAAACGCCUCCGUGGACUCGAUCUCACGCAUUUCUAUCAACAACCAGGAAAUACGGUCAGCGGACUCCCUAAAGCUACUAGGAGUUACAAUAGACUCUCAACUCAAUUUCUCGGAGCAUAUAAGCACAGCAUGUAAAAAUGCUGGCAGAAGAAUCGGUGUGCUGAUGAGACUCAGGAACUUGAUACCUACAAACGCUAAACUAGUUCUCUAUAAAUCUGCUGUGUUGCCUUAUUUGACAUACUGCCACUUGACCUGGCAUUUUUGUAAGGCAAGCGAUAGUAGGAAGCUUGAGCGUUUACAGGAACGUGCCUUAAGAGCUGUUUUUAAAGACUGGAAUUGCACUUACCACGAACUAUUAAUAAAGGCUAAUUUAUCUACUCUACGUAAUCGUAGACUGCAAGACAUUUGCAUCUUAAUGUACAAAGUUAAAAAUGGCCUUUGUCCAUCUGGGAUUAGUGAUUUGUUUUC